UGACUGUCAUCUUUCAUGUGUGUUUCUAAACAUUUUAGAUUAUGUGACGUGCACCUUUUCAAGCGACUAUUGACAAUUCCUUUAUUUUACACUGUUUUUCGAAAACUCAGUUGGAAAGAAUGCACCUGGGAUUUACAAAACGUGUCGAGCAUUUAAAUGAAUGCAUAUAUAUUUUUUUCAGUAGUACAUUGUACCUCUGUUGUAUCGAUUUCUUUUAGUAAAUAUUUCUGAAUAACUUUCGAAUUCGUUUCUUCGAAUCUCAGCCGAAGAAAAAAAGAAUUCUUAUAUAUACAAUCCCGAAUCUUAUAAAAAUCAAAGUAAGUACGAAAAGUAGGCAGUAGACAUCGGUUGAUGACGCGUGUUUGUCUAAGUAUUAUACUACACUUACUUGGGUUAAGACGAUAAGACAUCAUGGAAGCUACACAGGAUAUGUUGAAGAUAAACUUGGGAUCCAAACGAAAGGCUUCCAUUGAUGAAGAAACGGAAGUAAAGAGAAAAAUACCAAGAUCGUCUGACCAGACCAGCGAUGAUGACA